rnacentral:lncRNA from 1 species
UGAGAGUCAUGGCGUUGUUGCCUUGUGAUCAAUUAAAACUGCCAGUGCGCCACAGAUGAAGUGUCGCGAGGCUGCAGUGAUACAAUAGGAGCUUGUCUCCAUUUUAACUUGUCUGGUAUAUAUAUCAACCGCGCCUUGAGAGCUCUCUGGACGAUCCACAUCUUUUCUUGGUUCUAUUUGCUGAAGUUGGAUGAUUUUAACUUGUAGAACCCUGGCAGCAGCAAAUAACGCCGAUGUGAAAGCGGUACAGUAAACCAAGAGAGCGCAUACAACAGUUUACCUGGAUUUUGCGCCAAGCUUAAAGUUCUC